GACGAACGCUGGCGGCGUGCUUAACACAUGCAAGUCGAACGGAAAGGCCCUGCUUUUGUGGGGUGCUCGAGUGGCGAACGGGUGAGUAACACGUGAGUAACCUGCCCUGGACUUUGGGAUAACUUCAGGAAACUGGGGCUAAUACCGGAUAGGAGCGCCUGCUGCAGGGUGGGGGUUGGAAAGUUUCGGCGGUUGGGGAUGGACUCGCGGCUUAUCAGCUUGUUGGUGGGGUAGUGGCUUACCAAGGCUUUGACGGGUAGCCGGCCUGAGAGGUUGACCGGCCACAUUGGGACUGAGAGACGGCCCAGACUCCUACGGGAGGCAGCAGUGGGGAAUAUUGCCCAAUGGGCGGACGCCUGAUGCAGCAACGCCGCGUGCGGGAUGACGGCCUUCGGGUUGUAAACCGCUUUCGCCUGUGACGAAGCGUGAGUGACGGUAAUGGGUAAAGAAGCACCGGCUAACUACGUG
rnacentral:rRNA from 1 species